rnacentral:rRNA from 1 species
UACGUAGGGGGCUAGCGUUGCUCGGAAUUACUGGGCGUAAAGGGCGCGUAGGCGGUUUGUUCAGUCAGGUGUGAAAUUCCCGGGCUCAACCUGGGGGCUGCACUUGAUACGUAUGGACUGGAGUGGGGAAGAGGGUCGUGGAAUUCCCAGUGUAGAGGUGAAAUUCGUAGAUAUUGGGAAGAACACCGGUGGCGAAGGCGGCGACCUGGUCCUUGACUGACGCUGAGGCGCGAAAGCGUGGGGAGCAAACAGG